UACGGGGGGGCAAGCGUUGUUCGGAAUUACUGGGCGUAAAGGGCUCGUAGGCGGCCAACUAAGUCAUACGUGAAAUCCCUCGGCUUAACCGGGGAACUGCGUCUGAUACUGGAUGGCUUGAGUUCGGGAGAGGGAUGCGGAAUUCCAGGUGUAGCGGUGAAAUGCGUAGAUAUCAGGAAGAACACCCGUGGCGAAGGCGGUUCUCUGGGACGGUACUGACGCUGAGACGCGAAAGCGUGGGGAGCGAACAGG
rnacentral:rRNA from 1 species